AACGCAUAUUGCACUCUGUGGUAUUCCGCAGAGUAUGCUUGUUUGAGUGUCAGUAUCUAAUCUCAAACCCACCCGGGUUUGGACUUGAGUGUCCAGCUGUCAAAGGCUGGUCGCUUUAAACUAAUUGGUGAGCAGUUUAUGUAUGGUCGCUUGUCGAUUUGCUCUGACUUGACAAGAAUCUCCCUUGGGAGUUCAAGUAAAGUUAUCGAGUCGACGAUGAACUUUGUGAACUGUUCUACCUCAACCGCGAUUUACUUCGCAACCCUGGGUUCUUGUUACAUCCUUUGGGAGAAAGAACGCUUGUACUUUGACCUCAAAUCAGGUAGGACUACCCGCUGAACUUAA
rnacentral:misc_RNA from 1 species